UGAGAUGUUGGGUUAAGUCCCGCAACGAGCGCAACCCUUGAUUUUAGUUGCCAGCAUUUAGUUGGGCACUCUAAAGUGACUGCUGGUGCAAGCCGGAGGAAGGUGGGGAUGACGUCAAAUCAUCAUGCCCCUUAUGACCUGGGCUACACACGUGCUACAAUGGAUAGUACAAAGGGUCGCGAAGCCGCGAGGUGGAGCUAAUCCCAUAAAACUAUUCUCAGUUCGGAUUGUAGGCUGCAACU
rnacentral:rRNA from 1 species